rnacentral:hammerhead_ribozyme from 1 species
ACCCAGAUGACGAGUCCUAAAUAGGACGAAAUGCAUAUCCUGGCUGGAU